rnacentral:rRNA from 1 species
GAGGUUGUGGUCUUGAACCGUGGCUUCCGGAGCUAACGCGUUAAAUCGACCGCCUGGGGAGUACGGCCGCAAGGUUAAAACUCAAAUGAAUUGACGGGGGCCCGCACAAGCGGUGGAGCAUGUGGUUUAAUUCGAUGCAACGCGAAGAACCUUACCUACUCUUGACAUCCAGAGAAGACUGCAGAGAUGCGGUUGUGCCUUCGGGAACUCUGAGACAGGUGCUGCAUGGCUGUCGUCAGCUCGUGUUGUGAAAUGUUGGGUUAAGUCCCGCAACGAGCGCAACCCUUAUCCUUUGUUGCCAGCACGUUAUGGUGGGAACUCAAGGGAGACUGCCGGUGAUAAACCGGAGGAAGGUGGGGAUGACGUCAAGUCAUCAUGGCCCUUACAAGUAGGGCUACACACGUGCUACAAUGGCGUAUACAAAGAGAAGCGACCUCGCGAGAGCAAGCGGACCUCAUAAAGUACGUCGUAGUCCGGAUUGGAGUCUGCAACUCGACUCCAUGAAGUCGGAAUCGCUAGUAAUCGUAGAUCAGAAUGCUACGGUGAAUACGUUCCCGGGCCUUGUACACACCGCCCGUCACACCAUGGGAGUGGGUUGCAAAAGAAGUAGGUAGCUUACCCUUCGGGAGGGCGCUUACCACUUUGUGAUUCAUGACUGGGGUGAAGUCGUACA